GUGCCAGCCGCCGCGGUAAUACGAAGGGGGCUAGCGUUGUUCGGAAUUACUGGGCGUAAAGCGCGCGCAGGCGGCCAAUCAAGUCAGGGGUGAAAGCCCGGAGCUCAACUCCGGAACUGCCUUUGAAACUGGUUGGCUUGAGUACGGGAGAGGUGAGUGGAAUUCCCAGUGUAGAGGUGAAAUUCGUAGAUAUUGGGAAGAACACCGGUGGCGAAGGCGGCUCACUGGCUCAUUACUGACGCUCAGGCGCGACAGCGUGGGGAUCAAACAGGAUUAGAUACCCUUGUAGUCC
rnacentral:rRNA from 1 species